AACUGAAGGGCACUGACUGGGUCACUGGUGAAGUUCCCCGCAGGAACUGAGUCAGACCCCAUCUCAGGGCCCUGCACAAGAUAGGUGCCUGCUCUAAGGCGUGGACCCUCGCCACAGCCCUGGCCCGUCUUGACGGGCGAGGGUUACUGUACUUGUCCCAACCGUACAGAUGAGAAAGCUGAGACUCAGGGCCAGCAACCCGGGUCCCAGCGGAGCGCCCGGCACACGCCGACACUUCAGCACCAGUGGCGGUGGCCACCACUGUGGGCGGAGAUGGCUGCGACGCGUGCGCAGGUAAAGUCUAUGCGCGCCUUGCCUCCCACCGGCGCCUUCCCCGGCCUCUGGUUUUUGUCCCCGCCAGCGGCUCCGACUCCAUCGCGUCCUCUUCCAGUCUAGUGCUUUUUUCCAGAUCUCGAUCCCAAACUCCCUCCUGCCAGAAUCUGGACCCGAAUCCACCCAUUGCCCGUUUUCCGCUGCCGCUGGAGAGAAUCUCUGAGGUCCCCAGGAGAGCCUGCCUGCACGGAAGAGACGCCUCCUCGGUGAAAUGGCCACCAGACCCAGGCUUUCUGGAAUGCAUUCAUUUUCUGCAGUUGAAAGGGACAAUCCCGGAUCUGAAAGAAAGAGCCACAGUGACUCCAAGAGUGGAGCCAGGGCAUGCUGGACACUGCAUAGCUAUGGCCACGUGUGUCACCUCCGAGGGAGAUGUGAGAGAAACGCAGAGGGAUCGCUUGUGACUGUGCCUUCUCGAUGUAUGAUGGACUGUUCUGCUCAAAUAGCAGCAGUAGGGCUUAUGGGAGCCAUUGUACAGUGACAGGAACAUACCAGGACACUGAGAAUAGCGUCAUGUCAUAAGGACUCAGAGCAGGUGGACCCUGCUGUGAUGCACAAAGAGGACCAUGCAAGAUAUGAUAAAGAUCUAUGUCACUGAAUUUUGUUUCUGUAUUUGUAUCUCAGCUUCCCAGAAAUAAAAAAGAAUUCUAACAUUCAUA
rnacentral:lncRNA from 1 species